rnacentral:rRNA from 1 species
CAAUCAAACCGGGAGAUAGCUGGUUCUCCCCGAAAGCUAUUUAGGUAGCGCCUCGUGAAUUCAUCUCCGGGGGUAGAGCACUGUUUCGGCAAGGGGGUCAUCCCGACUUACCAACCCGAUGCAAACUGCGAAUACCGGAGAAUGUUAUCACGGGAGACACACGGCGGGUGCUAACGUCCGUCGUGAAGAGGGAAACAACCCAGACCGCCAGCUAAGGUCCCAAAGUCAUGGUUAAGUGGGAAACGAUGUGGGAAG